AACGAACGCUGGCGGCAGGCCUAACACAUGCAAGUCGAGCGAGCAUUUCGGUGCUAGCGGCGGACGGGUGAGUAACGCGUGGGAACGUGCCCUUUUCUGCGGAAUAGUCCUGGGAAACUGGGGGUAAUACCGCAUACGCCCUUUUGGGGUAAGAUUUAUCGGAGAAGGAUCGGCCCGCGUUGGAUUAGGUAGUUGGUGGGGUAAUGGCCCACCAAGCCGACGAUCCAUAGCUGGUUUGAGAGGAUGAUCAGCCACACUGGGACUGAGACACGGCCCAGACUCCUACGGGAGGCAGCAGUGGUGAAUCUUAGACAAUGGGGGCAACCCUGAUCUAGCCAUGCCGCGUGAGUGAUGAAGGCCUUAGGGUUGUAAAGCUCUUUCAGCUGGGAAGAUAAUGACGGUACCAGCAGAAGAAGCCCCGGCUAACUCCGUG
rnacentral:rRNA from 1 species